GACGAACGCUGGCGGCGUGCUUAACACAUGCAAGUCGAACGGGAUCCAAAGGCUUUUUGUUUUUGGUGAGGGUGGCGAACGGGUGAGUAACACGUGAGUAACCUGCCCCCUUCUUUUGGAUAACCGCAUGAAAGUGUGGCUAAUACAGGAUAUUCCAGGCUGGUCGCAUGAUUGGUUGGGGAAAUGGGUUGGUCUGGUGGGGGAUGGGCUCGCGGCCUAUCAGCUUGUUGGUGGGGUGAUGGCCUACCAAGGCGGUGACGGGUAGCCGGCCUGAGAGGGUGGGCGGUCACACUGGGACUGAGAUACGGCCCAGACUCAUACGGGAGGCAGCAGUGGGGGAUUUUGCACAAUGGGCGCAAGCCUGAUGCAGCGACGUCGCGUGAGGGAUGAAGGCGUUCGGGUUGUAAACCUCUUUCGCUGGGUUGAAAGGCCAUGCUUUGGGUGUGGUUGAUUUGAACUGGUAAAGAAGUACCGGCUAACUACGUG
rnacentral:rRNA from 1 species